rnacentral:rRNA from 1 species
UACGAAGGGGGCUAGCGUUGUUCGGAAUUACUGGGCGUAAAGCGUGUGUAGGCGGCUAUGUAAGUCGGAUGUGAAAGCCCUGGGCUCAACCCAGGAAGUGCACUCGAUACUGCGUAGCUUGAGUACCGGAGAGGUUGGUGGAAUUCUCGGUGUAGAGGUGAAAUUCGUAGAUAUCGAGAGGAACACCGGUGGCGAAGGCGGCCAACUGGACGAGUACUGACGCUGAGACACGAAAGCGUGGGGAGCAAACAGG